rnacentral:rRNA from 1 species
CUACGUAGGUGACAAGCGUUAUCCGGAUUUACUGGGCGUAAAGGGCGUGUAGGCGGUCUUGCAAGUCAGAAGUGAAAUUCCUGAGCUCAACUCGGGCGCUGCUUCUGAAACUGCAGGACUUGAGUGCUGGAGGGGAUAGCGGAAUUCCUAGUGGAGCGGUAAAAUGCGCAGAUAUUAGGAAGAACACCGGUGGCGAAGGCGGCUAUCUGGACAGUAACUGACGCUGAGGCGCGAAAGGGUGGGGAGCAAACAGGAUGAGAUACCCUGGUAGUCCACGCCGUAAACGAUGGGCGCUCGUCGUCGGCGGCAGACAGUCGGCGGCCAAGCGAAAGCGAUAAGCGCCCCACCUGGGGAGUACGGUCGCAAGGCUGAAACUCAAAUGAAUUGACGGGG